rnacentral:rRNA from 1 species
CGCGGUUAUACAAAAAAUAUAAUUUAAUUUUAUUAAUAUCAAUUAAUUUGUUUAAUUUUUAUUGUAGAAUUUAUUAAGUGAAAUUUUAAAUUUUAUAAAUAUUUUAUAGUUAAUGAUUUUGAAAAAAUUAAUUAAUAAACUAGGAUUAGAUACCCUAUUAUUUUAAUCGUAAAUAUAUUAUUAAAUUAUUAGUAGUUAUAUUCUUGAAAAUUAAAUAAUUUGGCGGUAUUUUAAUCUUUUCAGAGGAACCUGUUCUAUAAAUGAUAAUCCACGAUAAAAUUUACUUUUUUUAUAAGUUUAUAUAUCAUCGUAAUAAAAUAUUUUUAAAGAAUUUUAAUAUUUAUAAUUUUUUAUUAAAAAAUAUAUCAGAUCAAGGUGUAGUUUAUAAAAAAGCAGAAAUGGGUUACAAUAUAUUUUAUUAUUUGAAUUAUUUUUAUUAAGAAAAUAUGAAAAUGGAUUUGAAAGUAAAUUUAAUUUAUUAGUUAAAUUGAUUUUAGCUCUAAAAUAUGU